rnacentral:rRNA from 1 species
AACGAACGCUGGCGGCAGGCUUAACACAUGCAAGUCGAACGCCUGUAGCAAUACAGGAGCGGCAGACGGGUGAGUAACACGUGGGAACGUGCCCAAAGGUACGGAACAACUCCGGGAAACUGGAGCUAAUACCGUAUGUGCCCGAAAGGGGAAAGAUUUAUCGCCUUUGGAUCGGCUCGCGUCUGAUUAGCUAGUUGGUGGGGUAAUGGCCUACCAAGGCGACGAUCAGUAGCUGGUCUGAGAGGAUGGCCAGCCACACUGGGACUGAGACACGGCCCAGACUCCUGCGGGAGGCAGCAGUGGGGAAGAUUGGACAAGGGACGCAAGCCUGAUCCAGCCAUGCCGCGUGAGUGAUGAAGGCCUUAGGGUUGUAAAACUCGCUCGCCAGGGACGAUAAUGACGGUACCUGGAUAAGAAGCCCCGGCUAACUUCGUGCCAGCCGCCGCCGUAA